UGUGACGUGUUCGAGGUGCUCUUCGGGUUCGGGCGCCAUGGAAAUUAGAGGCAUUUGGCGGAGGUUGCCCCACGUUCACGUGCCCAUGAAUUGCCCUUAAUACAAAGAAACCCCUAACUGUAAAGUGCCGUGUAGACUGUUGGCUCCUUAUCACUAAUAAUGAAAUGUCACCCUCGUAUAUACCUUCCGUGGAUCACCGUCCUUUGGUAUUUGCAGAACAUUUGAUGACAACAGCAGAGAUUCUACAAACUCUAGUACAUGGACCUGGCAGAAUCUAACUAUAUUUUUAAUG